CCUACGGGAGGCUGCAGUGAGGAAUAUUGGUCAAUGGACGAGAGUCUGAACCAGCCAAGUAGCGUGAAGGAUGACUGCCCUAUGGGUUGUAAACUUCUUUUAUAAAGGAAUAAAACGAGGCACGUGUGCCUUUUUGCAUGUACUUUAUGAAUAAGGAUCGGCUAACUCCGUGCCAGCAGCCGCGGUAAUACGGAGGAUCCGAGCGUUAUCCGGAUGUAUUGGGUUUAAAGGGAGCGUAGAUGGUUUGUUAAGUCAGUUGUGAAAGUUUGCGGCUCAACCGUAAAAUUGCAAUGGAUACUGGCAGUCUUGAGUACAGUUGAGGUAGGCGGAAUGCGUGGUGUAGGGGUGAAAUGCUUAGAUAUCACGAAGAACCCCGAUUGCGAAGGCAGCUUACUAAACUGUGACUGACAUUGAUGCUCGAAAGUGUGGGUAUCAAACAGGAUUAGAUACCCUAGUAGUC
rnacentral:rRNA from 1 species